AGCGCCCUCCCCCAGCCCUGCCCAGCCAAGUCCCCGCCUCUUAGAAAAAAAAAGCGUCAGCAGCGGAAGAGAAUCCUAUGUCAAGUGUAAAGGUCACUUGUGAGUCUUUGCUGGAUUUUUUUGCCAAACGAUAAAUAACCGGCAAAUCUCACUAUGUCACCUAGGCUGGAGUGCAGUGGCUACUCACAGGCCUUGAAGUCCUGGGCUCAAGCAAUCCUCCCACCUCAGGCUCCUGAAUAGCUGAGAACACUACAUGUAGUCUUACAUAGACCAGCAUUACUGUCUUCACAAUGGGAGAUGCAGAACAGCUGGCAGGAAUCAAUGUACUCUGUGUUUCUCAUGGGAGAAAGAAAGAACACUGAAGGAAACAAGGACUGUGCCAGGAGAGGUGAUUAAGCAAUUAGAAUAUUUUGAAGUCUAAAAUAACUGUAGUAUCAGGAGAACAACUGAACGAGAAAAUAAAUUACUGAGAGUAAAGCAGUCUGUAGAUUUUGGGAAGAUUCGUAGGUGUGUGAGAAACAAGACAUUUUGGAAUCUUAAUGUAAUCUGAGAAGUAAAAUAGACCUGUAUUCCUGUCAUUCUCUUUCUCAUUUUCUUCCUCCUCACCAAAUCAUGAUGUUGAAGGUCAGUGAGAAGAGUCAAUUCGGGCUGUUUCUCACGAAGGUGUACACCAGUCAUCCGGAAUGUCAGUAUCCCUUAUUCAGAGUGAUUUUGAUAAAUGUGCUUAAAUAAAUAAACACUCUCAUUUCAACUAAAUAAUUUGGUGGGAAUCAUAGGUAAAAUGCCAUAGUAUGAACUAAGUCAUAUCACUGGUCCCCUGAAAAAGUGAAGGUGGAGUUUUUGUGCUUGUAAAUACUGAAAAAUGAUGUUUCUAUAUUACUUAUUUUUAUAAUGCUAUUUUCAUUCUGUGUGAUGUUCAGGUUCUGAAUAUCACAGGGGUGGAAAGAUAGACAAAAAGACAGGUAAGAAAAGGGAAAGAUAGGAAAAGCAUUUAAACAUUUUGUAGCAUUUCCAGAGUACUGGUGCCUAUUUUUUUUUUUUUUUU
rnacentral:lncRNA from 1 species